rnacentral:rRNA from 1 species
CCCUACGGGGUGCACGAGCAGGCUCUCGCGCCGGGUGAAGAGCAGUUUGACCGGCUUACCAGUGGCCUGGGCGAGCAGCGCGGCAUGGAUUUGGCCGGCAAUAUCUUCCUUGCCGCCAAAGCCCCCUCCGGUUUUUUGCCCGCGUACGCGCACGCUCAGCUCGGGCACACCCAGGGCCUCGGCCACCUGGCGGCGGUCAGCAUAAGGGAUUUGCGAGCCAACAAAGAUAUCCAUGCCGCCAUCAGGCCGCGGUACAGCGAUGGAACAUUCCGGCUCCAUGAAAAAGUGGUCGGUGGCGGGAGAGC